rnacentral:rRNA from 1 species
GACCUCGGAUCAGGUAGGGAUACCCGCUGAACUUAAGCAUAUCAAUAAGCGGAGGAAAAGAAACCAACAGGGAUUGCCCCAGUAACGGCGAGUGAAGCGGCAAGAGCUCAAAUUUGAAAGCUGGCUCCUUCGGGGUCCGCAUUGUAAUUUGCAGAGGAUGCUUCGGGAGCGGUCCCCAUCUAAGUGCCCUGGAACGGGACGUCAUAGAGGGUGAGAAUCCCGUAUGGGAUGGGGUGUCCGCGCCCGUGUGAAGCUCCUUCGACGAGUCGAGUUGUUUGGGAAUGCAGCUCUAAAUGGGUGGUAAAUUUCAUCUAAAGCUAAAUAUUGGCCGGAGACCGAUAGCGCACAAGUAGAGUGAUCGAAAGAUGAAAAGCACUUUGAAAAGAGAGUUAAAAAGCACGUGAAAUUGUUGAAAGGGAAGCGCUUGCGACCAGACUCGCUCGCGGGGUUCAGCCGGCAUUCGUGCCGGUGUACUUCCCCGCGAGCGGGCCAGCGUCGGUUUGGGCGGUCGGUCAAAGGCCCCUGGAAGGUAACGCCCCCUCGGGGGCGUCUUAUAGCCAGGGGUGCAAUGCGGCCUGCCCGGACCGAGGAACGCGCUUCGGCUCGGACGCUGGCAUAAUGGUCGUAAGCGACCCGUCUUGAAAAACACGGACC